rnacentral:rRNA from 1 species
UUUAUGGAGAGUUUGAUCCUGGCUCAGAGUGAACGCUGGCGGCGUGCCUAAUACAUGCAAGUCGAACGAUGAAGCUUCUAGCUUGCUAGAAUGCUGAUUAGUGGCGCACGGGUGAGUAACGCAUAGGUCAUGUGCCUCUUAGUUUGGGAUAGCCAUUGGAAACGAUGAUUAAUACCAGAUACUCCCUACGGGGGAAAGAUUUAUCGCUAAGAGAUCAGCCUAUGUCCUAUCAGCUUGUUGGUAAGGUAAUGGCUUACCAAGGCUAUGACGGGUAUCCGGCCUGAGAGGGUGAACGGACACACUGGAACUGAGACACGGUCCAGACUCCUACGGGAGGCAGCAGUAGGGAAUAUUGCUCAAUGGGGGAAACCCUGAAGCAGCAACGCCGCGUGGAGGAUGAAGGUUUUAGGAUUGUAAACUCCUUUUGUUAGAGAAGAUAAUGACGGUAUCUAACGAAUAAGCACCGGCUAACUCCGUGCCAGCAGCCGCGGUAAUACGGAGGGUGCAAGCGUUACUCGGAAUCACUGGGCGUAAAGAGCGCGUAGGCGGGAUAGUCAGUCAGGUGUGAAAUCCUAUGGCUUAACCAUAGAACUGCAUUUGAAACUACUAUUCUAGAGUGUGGGAGAGGUAGGUGGAAUUCUUGGUGUAGGGGUAAAAUCCGUAGAGAUCAAGAGGAAUACUCAUUGCGAAGGCGACCUGCUGGAACAUUACUGACGCUGAUUGCGCGAAAGCGUGGGGAGCAAACAGGAUUAGAUACCCUGGUAGUCCACGCCCUAAACGAUGGAUGCUAGUUGUUGGAGGGCUUAGUCUCUCCAGUAAUGCAGCUAACGCAUUAAGCAUCCCGCCUGGGGAGUACGGUCGCAAGAUUAAAACUCAAAGGAAUAGACGGGGACCCGCACAAGCGGUGGAGCAUGUGGUUUAAUUCGAAGAUACACGAAGAACCUUACCUAGGCUUGACAUUGAGAGAAUCCGCUAGAAAUAGUGGAGUGUCUGGCUUGCCAGACCUUGAAAACAGGUGCUGCACGGCUGUCGUCAGCUCGUGUCGUGAGAUGUUGGGUUAAGUCCCGCAACGAGCGCAACCCCCUUUCUUAGUUGCUAACAGGUUAUGCUGAGAACUCUAAGGAUACUGCCUCCGUAAGGAGGAGGAAGGUGGGGACGACGUCAAGUCAUCAUGGCCCUUACGCCUAGGGCUACACACGUGCUACAAUGGGGUGUACAAAGAGAAGCAAUACUGCGAAGUGGAGCCAAUCUUCAAAACGCCUCUCAGUUCGGAUUGUAGGCUGCAACUCGCCUGCAUGAAGCUGGAAUCGCUAGUAAUCGCAAAUCAGCCAUGUUGCGGUGAAUACGUUCCCGGGUCUUGUACUCACCGCCCGUCACACCAUGGGAGUUGUGUUUGCCUUAAGUCAGGAUGCUAAAUUGGCUACUGCCCACGGCACACACAGCGACUGGGGUGAAGUCGUAACAAGGUAACCGUAGGUGAACCUGCGGUUGGAUCACCUCCUUUCUAGA